AUGGCAUCAGCGGGAGGGGGCGGCAUUGACGGCGCAGCGGGGACGACGACCAAGAAGAAGAAGAGAAUCUCCGACUGCCUCGUCGACAGCGACGGCGGGGACGAGGUGGCGGGGGAGGACGCCAUGCCGCCCUCGCCGCCUUCCCCCGGGACGCCGCGGCUGCGCAUCCCGAUGUUCACCUGCGCGCGGCUUCGGUUCGUCAGGCUCGGCAGGAAAGGCGGCGCCGGACGGAAGGAUCAGGUCGCCGCCGAGAAGAGCGAGGCCGCGUCGACCGACUCCUCAGCAGCAGGAUGGAAAGCGGCGAGCAGCGGCGCGUCGUCGACGGAAACGGCCGGCAUGGGGCUGAGCCUGCUGUUCCUCCUCGCCAAGACCUGCGUCGAGCUCAACAAGAUGGCCGAGGUGCGCGCGGAGAUGGAGGUGCUCCUGCGGGAGAUGAGGGACCAGCUGGUGGUCAGGACGACCAAGGUCGCCACGACGACUGAUUCGCCGUGCCAGUGCCAGGCUUCGUCCAGUACGCGCACGGACGGCCAAGACGCCGGCGCCACCUCUUCGUCUUCUCCCGAACCGGCGCGUCGCCGCCAUUUCCGUCGUGAUAGGCGUGCUGGACGGAAACGGAGAGACGGGCCGUUCUACGCCCUGACAGGAAACCCGCUGUUCGACCUCGAGCGAGAGCCGUGUGGCCGCGCUGCCGCCUCCUCGUCUGCCAUGGAGACCGCGAGCGGCGCGAGCGAGACGUCGUCUGAAGUGGAGGACCCAUCGAGCUCCAUGGCCGUGGAUGUCGCUGGGGCGCAGUUGCAGCUCAACUGCCGCACCGAGCAAGGAACACCCGAGUCGUCGUCGGACGGGGAGUCGUUCAUCGAGCUGGACGGGGGAUUCGGAGCCGGAGCCGGUAGAGGCGGGUACAGUGCGAGGCGGUGGCGAGAUUCAGAGGACGGACAGGAGGAGGCGGAGGAGGAGCGCGGCGACGAGGGGGUGCCGGCGCUCGAGCUGGAGAGGCGGCUGCAGGAGCUCCUGCACCGGAGGAGCCGGGAGCGGAUCGAGGAGCUGGAGGCGUCGCUGCGGCACGCGGAGAGGAAGGUGAUGGAGAAGGAGAUGGAGGCGCGGCUGUGGAAGGACACCGCCAAGCUCGCGCUGCAGCCGGGCACGCGCGGCGGUACGGGGCAGUGA
rnacentral:rRNA from 1 species